GGAUUGAACGCUGGCGGCAUGCCUAACACAUGCAAGUCGAACGGGAGUAGCAAUACUCUAGUGGCGGACGGGUGAGGAAUACGUAGGAAUUUGCCCUUAAGUGGGGGAUAACCCGGGGAAACCCGGAUUAAUACCGCAUGACCUCGAAAGAGCAAAGUGGGGGAUCGCAAGACCUCACGCUUUUGGAGAAGCCUACGUCGGAUUAGCUAAGUUGGUGAGGUAAUGGCUCACCAAGGCGACGAUCCGUAA
rnacentral:rRNA from 1 species